UCUCUGGCCUCAGCUCCUCGUUCGGGUCUUCUCUCUAUGUUCACAGCUGACCUCACGUACCAGAACUCAGAGUAAAAGUUCCCUCAGAGCUGGUAGUGUACUCCAGAGAUUUUCGUUUUCUUCAGUAAACGUUUUAGAUACUUGAGUGUUGUUUCGUCAAAGUCCAAGAUUUCUUAUAUAAACUUGAUCCUUUGAAGUUAGAGAAAAUGCAUUCAUUGUCACUGACCCACCCUGUAGGUCAGUGGUAUCCUGUACCUCUGAGUACAUUUUCUUUUUUUAAUGCUUUAUUUAUUUUUGAGAGAGAGCACGCGCGCGUGCACGCAUGAGCAGGGGAGGGACCGAGAGAGAGGGGACAGGAUCCCAAGCGGGUCCCGCGCUGGCAGCAGCGAGCUGAGAUGGUGACCUGAGCUGAAGUCGAACGCUGGGCCGCCUGAGCCCCCCCAGGGGCCCUCACCGACUACCUUUUCGUCUGAUCCUUCCUUUUACAAGAAACAGUGUGGUCUGCUGAUGAAAAGCAUGACUGCCUGUUCCCCGCCAUGGCUCCACUACUAUCAGCUGUGCGGCCUUAGACAAAUCGCUGAACGUCUCUGAACCGCCGUCUCCUCGUUUGUAAAGUGGGGAUGAUAAUAGUACCUACCCCAUAUGUCUGUUACGAGGACACAACUGGCUGAUACGUAAAAAGCGAAUAGGAUGGCGUCUGGCGUUUAGUGGUGCCAGCUGUGUAAGUAAAGAAAUCCGUAGACACA